rnacentral:lncRNA from 1 species
CGGGUUUGGCCAAGUCCAUUCUAGGCUAUAAGAAAACACUUCCAGUUUGGUUGAUUCAUUGGGAUGAUCAGGUCGAGUUGUAACAAUGUACUUAUACUCUAACUUACUAACUGAGAUAGGUAUUCUAUCUCAGUUAGUAUGCUAUUAGAACAGGAAAUAAUUGAAGUCUAUCUCAGUUAGUAUGCUAUUAGAGUAUAGGUAAAACACAG